AUGAACGCUGGCGGCGUGCUUAACACAUGCAAGUCGAACGAUGAAGCCCAGCUUGCUGGGUGGAUUAGUGGCGAACGGGUGAGUAACACGUGAGUAACCUGCCCUUAACUCUGGGAUAAGCCUGGGAAACUGGGUCUAAUACCGGAUAGGAGCGUCCACCGCAUGGUGGGUGUUGGAAAGAUUUAUCGGUUUUGGAUGGACUCGCGGCCUAUCAGCUUGUUGGUGAGGUAAUGGCUCACCAAGGCGACGACGGGUAGCCGGCCUGAGAGGGUGACCGGCCACACUGGGACUGAGACACGGCCCAGACUCCUACGGGAGGCAGCAGUGGGGAAUAUUGCACAAUGGGCGCAAGCCUGAUGCAGCGACGCCGCGUGAGGGACGACGGCCUUCGGGUUGUAAACCUCUUUCAGUAGGGAAGAAGCGAAAGUGACGGUACCUGCAGAAGAAGCACCGGCUAACUACGUG
rnacentral:rRNA from 1 species